rnacentral:rRNA from 1 species
GAUGCAGCGACGCCGCGUGCGGGAUGACGGCCUUCGGGUUGUAAACCGCUUUCAGCAGGGAAGAAGCUUUUUGUGACGGUACCUGCAGAAGAAGCCCCGGCUAACUACGUGCCAGCAGCCGCGGUAAUACGUAGGGCGCGAGCGUUAUCCGGAAUUAUUGGGCGUAAAGGGCUCGCAGGCGGUUUGCCACGUCUGCUGUGAAAGCCCGGGGCUUAACUCCGGGUGUGCAGUGGGUACGGGUAGACUAGAGUGCAGUAGGGGAGACUGGAAUUCCUGGUGUAGCGGUGAAAUGCGCAGAUAUCAGGAAGAACACCGAUGGCGAAGGCAGGUCUCUGGGCUGUUACUGACGCUGAGGAGCGAAAGCAUGGGGAGCGAACAGGAUUAGAUACCCUGGUAGUCCAUGCCGUAAACGUUGGGCACUAGGUGUGGGGAACAUUCCACGUUUUCCGCGCCGUAGCUAACGCAUUAAGUGCCCCGCCUGGGGAGUACGGCCGCAAGGCUAAAACUCAAAGGAAUUGACGGGGGCCCGCACAAGCGGCGGAGCAUGCGGAUUAAUUCGAUGCAACGCGAAGAACCUUACCAAGGCUUGACAUGGACCGGAUCGCUGCAGAGAUGUAGUUUCCCUUCGGGGCUGGUUCACAGGUGGUGCAUGGUUGUCGUCAGCUCGUGUCGUGAGAUGUUGGGUUAAGUCCCGCAACGAGCGCAACCCUUGUCCUAUGUUGCCAGCACGUAGUGGUGGGGACUCAUGGGAGACUGCCGGGGUCAACUCGGAGGAAGGUGGGGAUGACGUCAAAUCAUCAUGCCCCUUAUGUCUUGGGCUUCACGCAUGCUACAAUGGCCGGUACAGUGGGUUGCGAUACUGUGAGGUGGAGCUAAUCCCUAAAAGCCGGUCUCAGUUCGGAUCGAAGUCUGCAACUCGACUUCGUGAAGUUGGAGUCGCUAGUAAUCGCAGAUCAGCAAUGCUGCGGUGAAUACGUUCCCGGGCCUUGUACACACCGCCCGUCAAGUCACGAAAGUCGGUAACACCCGAAGCUCACGGCCCAACCCCUUGUGGGAGGGAGUGGUCGAAGGUGGGACCGGCGAUGGA